rnacentral:rRNA from 1 species
GACGAACGCUGGCGGCGUGCUUAACACAUGCAAGUCGAACGAAGUGGCGAACGGGUGAGUAACGCGUAAACCACCUGCCCUUCAGAGGGGGACAACAGUUGGAAACGACUGCUAAUACCGCAUACUGAAUGAGGGGAUUGCGUUUGAUUAGCUAGUUGGAGGGGUAAUGGCCCACCAGGGGGAUGAUCAGUAGCCGGGCUGAGAGGCUGAACGGCCCGAUUGGGACUGAGGCACGGGCCAGACUCCUACGGGAGGCAGCAGUGGGGAAUCUUCCGGAAUGGGCGAAAGUCUGACGGAGCAACGCCGCGUGAGUGGUGACGGCCUUCGGGUUGUAAAGCUCUGUUAAUCGGGACGCGGUACCGGAAUAGAAAGCCACGGCUAACUACGUGCCAGCAGCCGCGGUAAUUC